CCUUGAUGAAAAGAGUCGGUCAGAGAGACGUCUAGUUUGUUUGUGUUUGCCGACUGCUUUGAUGUGAUGAUAUGUGAAUUUACGUGACUGAUUGAUUAUGUGAUUUCUGUGACGUGUGUCAUUAUGACCAAGUUAUUAUGAUUUUUAUUUGAGACCUUAGCACUUGGAAUUUUGAUUAAGUUUCCAAAGCAAAUGCGGUUUAUUUUUACCGAGAAAUCGAAGGAUGCCGGUUUAUGGAGAUUUUUUUCCAAGCAUAAUUUUUUUUUAAAUUAUUUUUCCUACGAAGAGGAAUAUUAUAAUUGAGAGAGUGCACAAGUAUUAGUGCUAUAAUUAUUUUAUUUGAUCACAUGAAUAAUUAUGCCAUGGUAUUUUAUUAAUGAGUAAUAUUUCCAUAAAUUUUGUGAUUAUUAUUUAAUCACCCUUCUCACACUAUUAUUUAAUUUCCCAAGCAUGUGCCUAAAUACCACAAAUUGCCAAGUGAGAGUGUAGAGAUUGAGAGUGUAGAGAUUAGAGAGAGAGAGACUAAGGCAUUAAUUGCCAAAUAUUUGAUAAGAUUCACAAAUCUUUAAAAGAUUAGCCAAAUCCUCACAAAUCUUGCAAGCCAAUUCUCUCUCUUCUCCACCCCAUUUUCGGUCAUCUCUCUCUCCCCUUCAUCUCUCAUUUCCUCCAUUGUCAACCAUUGGAGAGACCUUCGGAGCUUCCAAAAAAUUAUACAAAACACAUCAAUCCACUCCAAAAUCUUGCCUAAACACCUUCAAUCUCCUUGGAUUCAAGAAGAUCAUUGAAGAUUGGCUUCAAGGCUAGAGAGAGAAAGUUUGAUUGUUGGUGUAAAGUUUGGACACGAGCAGAGCAAGGAAGUAAGUAACUCCGCUUUGACGGGAGAUUUUGAGUAAGGUCUUCAGGCUAAGCGGGGAGCGAGAUUGGUCUGGUGCUGGUGGGGAACCGUUUCAAUCGAUGUGAUCAUAUUUAAUAUUGCUGUUAUGAUUGAUAGAGUCUUGAUGAUUAAAAAUACUUCGUUUCCUUUCGAAUCAAGUAAUAUACUCACGGUUAUGUGUCUUCAUACAUAUAAUCGGUUCGCCUUUUGCUGCGAUAUUCUGC